AGAGUUUGAUCAUGGCUCAGGACGAACGCUGGCGGCGUGCUUAAUACAUGCAAGUCGAACGAACUCUGGUAUUGAUUGGUGCUUGCAUCAUGAUUUACAUUUGAGUGAGUGGCGAACUGGUGAGUAACACGUGGGAAACCUGCCCAGAAGCGGGGGAUAACACCUGGAAACAGAUGCUAAUACCGCAUAACAACUUGGACCGCAUGGUCCGAGCUUGAAAGAUGGCUUCGGCUAUCACUUUUGGAUGGUCCCGCGGCGUAUUAGCUAGAUGGUGGGGUAACGGCUCACCAUGGCAAUGAUACGUAGCCGACCUGAGAGGGUAAUCGGCCACAUUGGGACUGAGACACGGCCCAAACUCCUACGGGAGGCAGCAGUAGGGAAUCUUCCACAAUGGACGAAAGUCUGAUGGAGCAACGCCGCGUGAGUGAAGAAGGGUUUCGGCUCGUAAAACUCUGUUGUUAAAGAAGAACAUAUCUGAGAGUAACUGUUCAGGUAUUGACGGUAUUUAACCAGAAAGCCACGGCUAACUACGUGCCAGCAGCCGCGGUAAUACGUAGGUGGCAAGCGUUGUCCGGAUUUAUUGGGCGUAAAGCGAGCGCAGGCGGUUUUUUAAGUCUGAUGUGAAAGCCUUCGGCUCAACCGAAGAAGUGCAUCGGAAACUGGGAAACUUGAGUGCAGAAGAGGACAGUGGAACUCCAUGUGUAGCGGUGAAAUGCGUAGAUAUAUGGAAGAACACCAGUGGCGAAGGCGGCUGUCUGGUCUGUAACUGACGCUGAGGCUCGAAAGUAUGGGUAGCAAACAGGAUUAGAUACCCUGGUAGUCCAUACCGUAAACGAUGAAUGCUAAGUGUUGGAGGGUUUCCGCCCUUCAGUGCUGCAGCUAACGCAUUAAGCAUUCCGCCUGGGGAGUACGGCCGCAAGGCUGAAACUCAAAGGAAUUGACGGGGGCCCGCACAAGCGGUGGAGCAUGUGGUUUAAUUCGAAGCUACGCGAAGAACCUUACCAGGUCUUGACAUACUAUGCAAAUCUAAGAGAUUAGACGUUCCCUUCGGGGACAUGGAUACAGGUGGUGCAUGGUUGUCGUCAGCUCGUGUCGUGAGAUGUUGGGUUAAGUCCCGCAACGAGCGCAACCCUUAUUAUCAGUUGCCAGCAUUAAGUUGGGCACUCUGGUGAGACUGCCGGUGACAAACCGGAGGAAGGUGGGGAUGACGUCAAAUCAUCAUGCCCCUUAUGACCUGGGCUACACACGUGCUACAAUGGAUGGUACAACGAGUUGCGAACUCGCGAGAGUAAGCUAAUCUCUUAAAGCCAUUCUCAGUUCGGAUUGUAGGCUGCAACUCGCCUACAUGAAGUCGGAAUCGCUAGUAAUCGCGGAUCAGCAUGCCGCGGUGAAUACGUUCCCGGGCCUUGUACACACCGCCCGUCACACCAUGAGAGUUUGUAACACCCAAAGUCGGUGGGGUAACCUUUUAGGAACCAGCCGCCUAAGGUGGGACAGAUGAUUAGGGUGAAGUCGUAACAAGGUAGCCGUAGGAGAACCUGCGGUUGGAUC
rnacentral:rRNA from 1 species